AGCCUCGCGCACCGCCAAAGUAUUUGGGAGCAAAGCCCGAAAGUUCCCAUUCUUCCUCCUCUUGCUUUCUCCCAUGGCUUCAGAUUUGGGUUAGGGUUACUCGAUCGGAGGAUUUUGUGCCGUGUAGAGUCCUUCAUCCGACGCGAUCGUCUUUUGGAUUGUUCUUUGGAGAUUUGGCUUGAGGUAAAAGGACUCUGAGUUGAAUCAUUAUGAAGAUUGUUUUGAAUGCUAGAGUGUUCAACUUCGGUAAUUUUUGAGGUGUAACUUGGACCAUCGUUCAAGACAAAAGCAGUAUACCUAAUCUUCAGAUAUGCAAGUUCUGAUGCAAUUGGUAACUUCGAGUUACCUAGACUCCGUUCCUGACUCCCAAUCAGGAAACUUUCACCGAGGUUCGUUCUCAUAUGAUUUGUAUGGCUCACGGUGAAUGAACUUUACACAGGCAAGUAUCAGUGUUAUACUUGAUAAGCAGUCCUUCCCCUGUGGUCUUCCAAGUAUGUCUAUGUGAUACUUGAUAUUCUACUUCCAGGUAAUUGCUCUCCGAACCAUGCUGUCUCUCUUUGUGUUGUUAAUCCUUGAUUCCUCGAGGCGUACAGCAGUGUCUUGUGGUUCUCAAUCCUUGAUUCCUCGAGGCGUGCAGCAGUGUCUUGUAGUUCAUCACGUUUUAAGUUUGCUGUCCUCAUCAAUGCCUGUGCCAAUUAUGUGAAGACACUGUAGGGAAUUUUAGGAGAUAGUGUGAUGGGUGUUGAUUGGGUUUUCUUACAUGUUCUACCCAUGGUGCUAUGUCUUUUUUUCUUUGCUAUUUUAGGUGUUGAAAAGUAGACCUAAUCAAGAUUUCAGUUCGGUGAAAAAAAUGAAAUCGAAACUAUAUGGAUUUUAGAUGA